GCUGGGCAUGGUGGUGCAUGCCUAUAGUCCCUACUACUCAGGAGGCUAAGGCGGGAGGAUCACUUGAGCCCAGGAGCUCGAGGCUGCAGUGAGCUACGAUUGUGCCACUGCAUUCCAGCCUGGGCAACAGAGUGAGACCCUGUCUCAA
ensembl:misc_RNA Metazoa_SRP Metazoan signal recognition particle RNA